AUUGAACGCUAGCGGGAUGCCUUACACAUGCAAGUCGAACGGCAGCACGGACUUCGGUCUGGUGGCGAGUGGCGAACGGGUGAGUAAUGUAUCGGAACGUGCCUAGUAGCGGGGGAUAACUACGCGAAAGCGUAGCUAAUACCGCAUACGCCCUACGGGGGAAAGCAGGGGAUCGCAAGACCUUGCACUAUUAGAGCGGCCGAUAUCGGAUUAGCUAGUUGGUGGGGGAACGGCUCACCAAGGCGACGAUCCGUAGCUGGUUUGAGAGGACGACCAGCCAGACUGGGACUGAGAAACGGCCCAGACUCCUACGGGAGGCAGCAGUGGGGAAUUUUGGACAAUGGGGGAAACCCUGAUCCAGCCAUCCCGCGUGUGCGAUGAAGGCCUUCGGGUUGAAAAGCACUUUUGGCAGGAAAGAAACGUCAUGGGUUAAUACCCCGUGAAACUGACGGUACCUGCAGAAUAAGCACCGGCUAACUACGUGCCAGCAGCCGCAGUAAUAC
rnacentral:rRNA from 1 species